CUGCUAGCGAAUGCUCUGACUUUAUUGCACUACUGUACUUUACAGCUAGCAGUGCAAUAGUAUUGUCAAAGCAUCCGAAAGCUGG
ensembl:miRNA